rnacentral:tRNA from 1 species
CAAAAAGUAGUUUAACUGAGGAUGCUGGCUUUGGGAGCCAGUGGCGGGGGUUAGAAUCCCCCCUUUUUGA